rnacentral:rRNA from 3 species
ACACGGACCAAGGAGUGCAACAUGCGUGCGAGUCUUUGGGUGUCAAACCCGCCGGCGCAAUGAAAGUGAAGGCAGACGUCGGUUUGCCGAGGUGAGAGCCCCCUUUCCGGGGGGCGCAUCAUCGACCGAUCCCAGGCUACGCCGUAGCGGGAUUUGAGUGAGAGCGUGCCUGUUGCGACCCGAAAGAUGGUGAACUAUGCCUGAAUAGGGCGAAGCCAGAGGAAACUCUGGUGGAAGCUCGUAGCGAUUCUGACGUGCAAAUCGAUCGUCAAAUUUGGGUAUAGGGGCGAAAGACUAAUCGAACCGUCUAGUAGCUGGUUCCCUCCGAAGUUUCCCUCAGGAUAGCUGGAGCCCGGUGCAGUUUUAUCAGGUAAAGCGAAUGAUUAGAGGUCUUGGGAUUGAAACAAUCUCAACCUAUUCUCAAACUUUAAAUGGGUAAGAAGCCCGGCUUGCUUAGUUGAAGUCGGGCAUGGAAUGCUGGGGCUCUUAGUGGGCCAUUUUUGGUAAGCAGAACUGGCGAUGCGGGAUGAACCGAAUGCUGGGUUAAGGUGCCCGAAUCGACGCUCAUCAGAUACCAUGAAAGGUGUUGGUUGAUCUAGACAGCAGGACGGUGGCCAUGGAAGUCGGAAUCCGCUAAGGAGUGUGUAACAACC